rnacentral:rRNA from 1 species
UAGGGAAUCUUCCACAAUGGGCGAAAGCCUGAUGGAGCAACGCCGCGUGUGUGAUGAAGGCUUUCGGGUCGUAAAGCACUGUUGUAUGGGAAGAACAGCUAGAAUAGGAAAUGAUUUUAGUUUGACGGUACCAUACCAGAAAAGGACGGCUAAAUACGUGCCAG